UGAGGAAUAUUGGUCAAUGGACGAGAGUCUGAACCAGCCAAGUAGCGUGCAGGAUGACGGCCCUAUGGGUUGUAAACUGCUUUUGUUUGGGAAUAAUCGACAUUACGUGUAAUGUUUUGCAUGUACCAUUCGAAUAAGGACCGGCUAAUUCCGUGCCAGCAGCCGCGGUAAUACGGAAGGUCCAGGCGUUAUCCGGAUUUAUUGGGUUUAAAGGGAGUGUAGGCUGUCUAUUAAGCGUGUUGUGAAAUAUACCGGCUCAACCGGUGGCUUGCAGCGCGAACUGGUCGACUUGAGUAUGCAGGAAGUAGGCGGAAUUCAUGGUGUAGCGGUGAAAUGCUUAGAUAUCAUGACGAACUCCGAUUGCGCAGGCAGCUUACUGUAGCAUAACUGACGCUGAUGCUCGAAAGUGCGGGUAUCAAACAGG
rnacentral:rRNA from 1 species